AUUGAACGCUGGCGGCAGGCCUAACACAUGCAAGUCGAACGGUAGCACAGGAGAGCUUGCUCUCUGGGUGACGAGUGGCGGACGGGUGAGUAAUGCAUGGGAGCUGCCCAAUCGAGGGGGAUACCAGCUGGAAACUGUAGCUAAUACCGGAUACGACCCUUGGAGGCAUCUCUGGGGGUGGAAAGAAUUUCGGUCAAGGAUGAGCUCGCGGCCUAUCAGCUUGUUGGUGAGGUAAAAGCUCACCAAGGCGACGACGGGUAGCCGGCCUGAGAGGGUGACCGGCCACACUGGAACUGAGAUACGGUCCAGACUCCUACGGGAGGCAGCAGUGGGGAAUAUUGCACAAUGGGCGCAAGCCUGAUGCAGCAACGCCGCGUGAGGGAUGAAGGCCUUCGGGUUGUAAACCUCUUUUAUCAGGGAAGAAGCGAAAGUGACGGUACCUGAAGAAAAAGCACCGGCUAACUACGUG
rnacentral:rRNA from 1 species